rnacentral:rRNA from 1 species
AACGAACGCUGGCGGCAGGCCUCAAACAUGCAAGUCUAGGGGGUAGCAAUACCACCGGCGGACGGGUGCGUAACGCGUGGGAACAUACCUUUCGGUACGGAACAACUGCGGGAAACUGCAGCUAAUACCGUAUACGCCCUUACGGGGAAAGAUUUAUCGCCGAAGGAUUGGCCCGCGUUCGCUUAGCUAGUGGGUGGGGUAAAAGCUCACCAAGGCUACGAUCGAUAGCUGUUCUGGGAGGAAGAUCAGCCACACUGGGACUGAGACACGGCCCAGACUCCUACGGGAGGCAGCAGUUGGGAAUCUUGGACAAUGGGGGAAACCCUGAUCCAGCCAUGCCGCGUGAGUGAUGAAGGCCUUCGGGUUGUAAAACUCUUUCGACGGGGACGAUAAUGACGGUACCCGUAGAAGAAGCUCCGGCUAACUUCGUGCCAGCAGCCGCCGCAG